UACGUAGGGUGCGAGCGUUGUCCGGAAUUAUUGGGCGUAAAGAGCUCGUAGGCGGUCUGUCGCGUCGAAUGUGAAAACCCGGGGCUCAACUCCGGGCUUGCAUUCGAUACGGGCAGGCUAGAGUUCGGUAGGGGAGUCUGGAAUUCCUGGUGUAGCGGUGAAAUGCGCAGAUAUCAGGAGGAACACCGAUGGCGAAGGCAGGUCUCUGGGCAUUAACUGACGCUGAGACGCGAAAGCGUGGGGAGCAAACAGG
rnacentral:rRNA from 1 species